CCUUCACACACACAUCUUCAUCAUAAGUUUUUUGCUCACAGGGAGCGGAAAGAAAAACAAACAAAAGGAAAGCAAAAGGUUCACCACUCCCAGACUGCCAGAGAUAUAACUCAAGAGACUUCUAUUUUGUGGGUGAAAAGGGAAAAAGGCUAUGCUUCAAUGAUUCUUUAAUAAAAUAAUAAUUAAAAACA